AGUUCACAAGCCUCGCCGGGAAGAUGAGCCAGUUAUUGCUGACAAGAUCUCACUUGCAGGACACGAAACGAUGCAGAAAAGAUGCAGAAAUAAGGAGUAUUUUGGAGCAGCGCACCAUCGUGUUUCAGCACCAUGGACAGAUUGGAGGCGCGCGUCGGUCUCAGACACCGGCAGGUUAGUGAAUCCGCUCCCGGCUCCCAUGGGGUCCCAUCACGGCUGCAAGCUGUCACAUAUGAGGCGGGGACAACACAGAUAUAAGGCAACACACACACACACCCACCCUGACUUAGCUGUUUCUUUCUCCUCUGCUGGUGCAUGAAAAGGAGGCAGUGGUUUGAUGCUUUCUCUCUUUUUGUCUUCUUCUCUUUAUCCUCACUGCUGCGUGUCCACAGGAGCUGUGGCACUGUUGUAGUAAAUAAAUCAUAAGGUGAUUAAACUGACUUUGUGUGAUCAUCACACACAACGCCUGUGAAACUUAUAUAUACACUGUAAACAAUUGCUGUUAAUUUACAGCAGGAUUUCAACAGUAUUAACCUGUUAUUGCUAAAAAAAAAACAGUGCUUUACUGUUAAUACAAAAGAAAACAAAAAGAAAAGGCAUGCUUGAUUGUUACUGUUAUUUUGUCCACCCCCCUGUAUGCUUAGUGUUAAUGCAACUAAUUUUAGUUUAAUCUUCAUAUAAAUAAUCACACAGGUAACUGGAUAUACAGAUUUAAACAUAAUUUAGACACAAAAAGCAAAACAUAUUUGGUGUAAAAAUGUAGAAAUUUGAUAUAUUAAUACUAUGCUUUGGUGCCAAAAUAAAAUAUUUGACUAAAUCCGAAAAAAA